CGUAGGGGGCAAGCGUUGUUCGGAAUUACUGGGCGUAAAGGGCGCGUAGGCGGCAUGGCAAGUCGGGAGUGAAAUGCCUGGGCUCAACCGAGGAACUGCUUUCGAAACUGCCAAGCUAGAGUGCGGAAGGGGCAUCUGGAAUUCCCAGUGUAGCGGUGAAAUGCGUAGAUAUUGGGAAGAACACCUGAGGCGAAGGCGGGAUGCUGGGCCGACACUGACGCUGCAGCGCGAAAGCCAGGGGAGCAAACGGGAUUAGAUACCCCGGUAGUCCUGGCCCUAAACGAUGGAUACUUGGUGUGUGGGGUUCUUCGAGUCCCCGCGUGCCGGAGCUAACGCGGUAAGUAUCCCGCCUGGGGAGUACGGUCGCAAGGCUG
rnacentral:rRNA from 1 species